rnacentral:rRNA from 1 species
UACGAAGGGGGCUAGCGUUGUUCGGAAUUACUGGGCGUAAAGCGCGCGCAGGCGGUCCUUCAAGUCAGAGGUGAAAGCCCAGAGCUCAACUCUGGAACGGCCUUUGAAACUAGAGGACUUGGGUACGGGAGAGGUGAGUGGAAUUCCGAGUGUAGAGGUGAAAUUCGUAGAUAUUCGGAAGAACACCAGUGGCGAAGGCGGCUCACUGGCCCGUUACCGACGCUCAGGCGCGACAGCGUGGGGGAGCAAACAGG